GACGAACGCUGGCGGCGUGCUUAACACAUGCAAGUCGAACGGAAAGGCCCUGCUUUUGUGGGGUGCUCGAGUGGCGAACGGGUGAGUAACACGUGAGUAACCUGCCCUUGACUUUGGGAUAACUUCAGGAAACUGGGGCUAAUACCGGAUAGGAGCUCCUGCUGCAUGGUGGGGGUUGGAAAGUUUCGGCGGUUGGGGAUGGACUCGCGGCUUAUCAGCUUGUUGGUGGGGUAGUGGCUUACCAAGGCUUUGACGGGUAGCCGGCCUGAGAGGGUGACCGGCCACAUUGGGACUGAGAUACGGCCCAGACUCCUACGGGAGGCAGCAGUGGGGAAUAUUGCACAAUGGGCGGAAGCCUGAUGCAGCAACGCCGCGGGCGGGAUGACGGCCUUCGGGUUGUAAACCGCUUUCGCCUGUGACGAAGCGUGAGUGACGGUAUGGGUAAAGAAGCACCGGCUAACUACGUG
rnacentral:rRNA from 1 species